rnacentral:rRNA from 1 species
AUGCACUACUUUGAUAAUCCCGAGAAAACCCCAUUUAACAUGAUAAUGGGAGACACGUUGGAUCAACGUGAAUACUUUAGGGAUUAUUGCUUGACACAAAAAGGGAAACUUUUAUGGGAUCAAAUUGAUAUGUUGCAUUGGUAUGCUUGGAAUUUAUGCCAGAGAUAUGAUUUUACUUGUUGCUCUAGGAUGAAUGCUCCACACCUUCCCUUUUCAUGCAAAUUUAAUGAUAAUGAAACCUUGCCUUCUUAUUCCAAUGGUAUAUAUGAUUAUUAUUAUGUGGAACGAAUAGAAGAAUUUGUUGCUUUUAAGGGGGCUUAUGAAAUUGAAAGUAUGAAGCUUUUGAUGAUGAUGUUUAUAGACCUGAAAAUUUUGCCGUCCUUAAAUAUUGCUAUGAUGAUUAAAAAUACAAUUCGAUAUUGA